rnacentral:rRNA from 1 species
CCUACGGGGGGCUGCAGUGGGGAAUAUUGCACAAUGGGCGGAAGCCUGAUGCAGCGACGCCGCGUGAGGGAUGACGGCCUUCGGGUUGUAAACCUCUUUCAGUAGGGACGAAGCGUGAGUGACGGUACCUACAGAAGAAGCACCGGCCAACUACGUGCCAGCAGCCGCGGUAAUACGUAGGGUGCGAGCGUUGUCCGGAAUUACUGGGCGUAAAGGGCUCGUAGGCGGUUUGUCGCGUCGAUCGUGAAAACUCGGGGCUCAACCUCGAGCUUGCG